UGGGACAGCCAGGCGGCCGCGCGUCACGCAAGUGGCUCGAGGAACGUCCGGGCUCCACAGAGCGGGGUGGUGGGUAACACCCACUCGGGGUAACCCGCAGGCCAGUGCCACAGAAAACAGACCGCCUUGAUCGCGUGUGCCUGCACAGGCGAUCAAGGUAAGGGUGAAACGGUGGUGUAAGAGACCACCAGCUUCCCGGGUGACCGGGAAGGCUAGGUAAACCCCACCCGGAGCAAGGCCAGACAGGGCACGUUUGAGGGCUGCUCGCCCGAGUGUCCGGGUAGGCCGCUGGAGGGUGUCGGCAACGGCAUCCGUAGAUGGAUGGCCGCCUCUUCCCUGCCGGUAACGGCUUGGAAUGACAGAACCCGGCGUAUCGGCUGUCCCAUCCG
rnacentral:RNase_P_RNA from 1 species